rnacentral:lncRNA from 1 species
AAAGCUUUACUGAUGCUGUUAGGUCAACAAAUGCCAUGCAUAGAACUCUUUAGAUAACUUUCUUUAUUUCUGCUUAAUUGGAACACGUUCUUCGUUUGUUUAUUGCAUAUAUCUAGAUUUUAGCUGGUUAUGUUUUAGCUACAAAUAAAAGUGCACCACUGACAGUGCAGUUUUGAGGCCCAUUUGCACUAAGAAUUCUAACUAUAACUAAGCCAAAAAAAGCUAAGAUAUUUCUCAAAAUAUAUAUUUUUUUGUUCAUUUUUAGGUAAACUAUUCCUGUGCCCACAAUACCUUAUGAAUUCUUGAUAUGGUUAUGUCUCUAAAGCUCGUGUGCUGAGGGAAAAGAAAAGGCCGCGGUCACAUGACUGUCAUCUCUUCUGCUGUAACGGAGGUGUGAGUUGCCAUGGAGUGCUGCUGCCUUUUCAUGUGCUCUCACAGCAAUCAGACACAAGCAGAGAGGAUGCUGAUUCUUUCAGAAAAGUCAGAGGUGGAGAACCACAUCUGAAGGACUCUGAGCUGCCAGACGUGUGAAUCUGAAAUCCACACUCUCAGACCUUGGAUCGCACCGGAUCGAUGUGAAAUGCAGGGAGCUGACAGUGAAAAGCAAUAUUCAUAAAUAAUGUACACAGAACACAGCAUGAUCUUUCACCUCUUUUCUCAGACCUUCUGCAGACAAACUAUUUGCCAUCAUAUCUUUAAACUGUUAAUCUGGAACUAAAAGAAACAGUAGCAGAUCUUUUUAUUCUGUAUUGCGUGUAACAGAUAAUCAAAAAAGAACAAAUGCAGAGCAAGGACUUUGUUUCUAAGCAUUAACUGUUGAUUUGGAUUUUGAGAUUUGGGAAGUUGUACUCAAAAGUGGAUGCAGUUGAGCAUGAGUUUUAGUAGGCUAAGGGUGGGUUGCACCAACAAGGAUUAAAUUAAGCAAAGUUUAGAGCCAAUAAAGAAUUUGUUGAUCUGGGUUUUUUUUGAACAAGUUGUGUUGCACCACAUCAUUUUAAACAAAGAUUAACAAAUUAUUAGAGUUCUAACCUGUGAUUAAAACUCCAUCUACGA